UCUAACACAAAAUGCCGAAAACGUGUUUUCAGCACACUGGAAAGAAACAUGUGGCUUAGCUUUUGAGCGUGGCCAGAUAUUUAAGACCGACAGGCUCGACGAGUCAACCCAAAACAACGUGGUCGCAUGCUGAUCGCUUAUAAUUCCGAAAGCAACACUCCGCCGUGUCGUGUUGUCCGUCUGAAGUAAACAGUGGGCCAAAAAUAUUCGAAUGCACCCCUCGUUUCGGUUGAAUCCAAAUUGGAAUCGAACGGGCGUAGGUCGACACACGAGUUGAAAUUUCUCGUAGUCGGGGCCGUGUACCUGACCAUAUCAAUCAUGUCUAUCUUUGACCUUUCCUUCUUCUCGACGAGGAGAUGAAGCUGCAAAACAACUUCCCUAAUAACUCCAUUAUUUUCUGGCUCUGUGAAGAUUUAAUAACCUGAACACGAGGCAACUGCGCCAGUGUGGGCGGCGGCGUGCAUAAAGGCCUGCUCUCUCUCUCUCUCUCUCUCUCUUUAUCGCUCUUCCUCAAACAUAUGCAUAAAGAUUGGACGGGCCUGCAGAAGAAAGGCCUGCAAAAGAUGGGAGGACGGCCAAGAGAAGGUGACGCCAACAGAAGGAAACAAGAGAAGGACGAGAGGGCGGCGGAGCGAAGGCUAUGGGCGAGACUGUGAGAGAGGGAAAGGAGACAGGCGACCGCAGCAAGGAUAGGGAUGGCUUUGUGACAACUUGCUAACUGCAACAUCAAUCAACACCAAAUCAACAACAAAUGGAGGAAAAGUAAAGAUCAAAACGCCAUGUUUCUUGUUAUUUUAUCCUAUAGGAUCGAGUCGGUGUUAUAAAAAAGAAAUAAGUUAAGGAAAACCUCCA